rnacentral:rRNA from 1 species
CCCUUAGAUGUUCUGGGCUGCACGCGCGCUACACUGAAGCUAUCAACACGUUUUCCCUCCCUGAGAAGGGCGGGUAACCUUUUGAAUCAGCUUCGUGGUAGGGAUCGGGGCUUGCAAUUGUUCCCCGUGAACCAGGAAUUCCUAGUAGACGCGAGUCAUAAGCUCGCAUCGAUUAAGUCCCUGUCCUUUGUACACACCGCCCGUCGCUACUACCGAUUGAACGUUUUAGUGAGGCAUUUGGACCGACGCAUCUCAGUUUAACCGCUGGUUUGUGUUGGAAAGACUUCCAAACUUGAGCGUUUAGAGGAAGUAAAAGUCGUAACA